UACGUAGGGAGCAAGCGUUGUCCGGAAUCAUUGGGCGUAAAGGGUGCGUAGGCGGCGGGGUAAGUCAGGUGUGAAAUCCCGGAGCUCAACUCCGGAACUGCACUUGAUACUACCUUGCUAGAGUACUGGAGAGGAGACUGGAAUUUACGGUGUAGCAGUGAAAUGCGUAGAUAUCGUAAGGAAGACCAGUGGCGAAGGCGAGUCUCUGGACAGUUACUGACGCUGAGGCACGAAGGCCAGGGGAGCAAACGGG
rnacentral:rRNA from 1 species